rnacentral:misc_RNA from 1 species
GGUUUCCUACCACGUGCAUGUCAAGCCCAGGUAAGGUUCUUCGCGUUGCGUCGAAUUAAACCACACGCUCCGCUGCUUGUGCGGGCCCCCGUCAAUUCCUUUGAGUUUUAGCCUUGCGGCCGUAGUCCCCAGGCGGAGCACUUAAUGCGUUAGCGUCGGCACCGAGGGGGUCGAUACCCCCGACACCUAGUGCUCAUCGUUUAGGGCGUGGACUAC